GCCUUGAAACCCGAGUCCCGUACGCUCACCGAAGUUAAGCAAGGUCGAACCUGUUCAGUUCCUAGAUGGGUGACGGCUUGGAAAUACCAGGUGCUGUA